rnacentral:rRNA from 1 species
GAUGAACCCUGGCGGCGUGCCUAAUACAUGCAAGUCGAGCGAACAGACGAGGAGCUUGCUCCUCUGACGUUAGCGGCGGACGGGUGAGUAACACGUGGAUAACCUACCUAUAAGACUGGGAUAACUUCGGGAAACCGGAGCUAAUACCGGAUAAUAUAUUGAACCGCAUGGUUCAAUAGUGAAAGACGGUUUUGCUGUCACUUAUAGAUGGAUCCGCGCCGCAUUAGCUAGUUGGUAAGGUAACGGCUUACCAAGGCAACGAUGCGUAGCCGACCUGAGAGGGUGAUCGGCCACACUGGAACUGAGACACGGUCCAGACUCCUACGGGAGGCAGCAGUAGGGAAUCUUCCGCAAUGGGCGAAAGCUUGACGGAGCAACGCCGCGUGAGUGAUGAAGGUCUUCGGAUCGUAAAACUCUGUUAUUAGGGAAGAACUAAUGUGUAAGUAACUAUGCACGUCUUGACGGUACCUAAUCAGAAAGCCACGGCUAACUACGUG